GGAACAAUUAAAUUCGUUUCCCACAACGUGGGUGAAUCACGAUCACGAUCUCCAAAGCCCAGGCUGGUGGGUAUGAAAUCAAAAAAUUUUACCUUUUUGACAGAGUUAGGUGAAAGGAUGUAGGGCAGGAUGAGCAACAGUAGCGCCAUUGUUGAGAAGGCGUAGUCUGGACACACAUUGAGGAUCUGCACAAUGGCGUCUACAUUAUCGACGCAGUCUCGUGUGCCAUCGAGUGGCCUCCCAGAAUUCCCGAUGGCCGUUUCCAUGACCCCUCCAUUGUUCCGCUUCAUCGAGCAACAUUUCGUUAUUGGGCAUAUAGUGACGUGCCGUAAUUCACCGCCGUCAUAGUGGAAUUGGUUUAUUGAAGACUCCAUUAAUUACGUAAAGGUCGUUGAUAUAAAUUAGAGCGAAUGAAAAAUUGACCGACACAUCAUUUCUUGACUAUCGACUAAAAUACGAGACUCCAUUAAGCAUCCCGAGUCGAGACUGCAUCAUAUAAAGUCAUCCGAUUACGCGUACAAAGGGCAUAUUUUACAAUCAUGAAUAACAGCAUUAGCGGAAACGAAGAUGUUUUACUCAACGAAAACGAAGACGUAUACAACCCCAUCUAUAUAAAUGGCUUCAUGAUUUCUAAAUCCAUUUCCUGUUGCGUCGGAAUACCUCUGAACGUAUCCAUCGCCGUUGCAUUAAUUGGAAAUCAUCAGCUACGUGCGAAACCACGCAUCGUCUUCUUGCUGGGCAUAAUUUUUUCGUACUUGUCUUUUUUUGUUGUUGCUAUUAUCGAACUGAUUUAUGUGUGUCUGUAUCCGAUUGAAUCAGUUUGCCAGGCUUACGUUGCCUGUUCUGCUCUUCCGCAAACUCUGUUGAUAUUGAAUUUAUUGCUCGCAUUGGGCGACCGAUAUUUAGCCAUCAAACAUCCGAUGUUUCAUCGGAGGAAGAUGACACAGCGUCUAGCUUGUGCCAUUGUCAUUUUUAGCUCAUUGCUUACAGUCUUUGUCCAGAACUUUUCCUACAUAGUCGGACUGAGAACCUUACGCUGCGAGGUGUGGCUUGUUCGUGUUAAAUUAGUUACGAUAAGCACAAUUUUAUUAUACUUCGUCUGUACAGUGUUGAAUUUCAUCGUCUAUCAAGAGACGAAGAGUCUUCUUUGUGAAUAUCGAACAAUCUGUUCAUAUUCUAACGCUCAACUGGAUAUCACUGGCCAAAGAAA